UGGAUGAGGCCUCGGUUCAAUGAGAGCCCCAGGCAGGAGAUGGCCACACCCAGGUAAACGCUGCAUUUCUACAAUAGCCAUCUGUGCAGGCCCUGCAUGCUCUGUAACCUGGGGAUUUGGUCUUCUGAAAAGGGCACUAGAGAAAAACUGCUCUUAAGCCUCUGUUAACUGACACAGCAGUAGAACUCCAAGGUGUUGACCCUUGGAUUCAUGUUUCUCAACUUCAGAGACACACAUCACUCCUUCCUGACCACUGGGCAUCCAACCCACCAGGAGCUGCUAAACUGAGAGCUGUUAGAAAUCCUCCAAAAGUGCUCACUGCAGAAGUUGGUAGCUUCUGCUCAAGAUGGCAGAACAAGAUUAAUAACUUUUGUAUUCUUCAGCACCUUUUUUAUUUUCCAUUAUCACACUUUGAUACCCUCUAAAACAUUAAAACACCUUCUAGAAUGCU